UGGGCGUAAGGGCUCGCAGGCGGUUUCUUAAGUCUGAUGUGAAAGCCCCCGGCUCCACCGGGGAGGGUCAUUGGAAACUGGGAAACUUGAGUGCAGAACAGGAGAGUGGAAUUCCACGUGUAGCGGUGAAAUGCGUAGAGAUGUGGAGGAACACCAGUGGCGAAGGCGACUCUCUGGUCUGUAACUGACGCUGAGGAGCGAAAGCGUGGGGAGCGAACAGGAUUAGAUACCCUGGUAGUCCACGCCGUAAACGAUGAGUGCUAAGUGUUAGGGGGUUUCCGCCCCUUAGUGCUGCAGCUAACGCAUUAAGCACUCCGCCUGGGGAGUACGGUCGCAAGACUGAAACUCAAAGGAAUUGACGGGGGCCCGCACCAGCGGUGGAGCAUGUGGUUUAAUUCGAAGCAACGCGAAGAACCUUACCAGGUCUUGACAUCCUCUGACAACCCUAGAGAUAGGGCUUUCCCUUCGGCGACAGAGUGACAGGUGGUGCAUGGUUGUCGUCAGCUCGUGUCGUGAG
rnacentral:rRNA from 1 species